rnacentral:rRNA from 1 species
UCGCGGUUAAGGAACUAGGCAAAAUAGUCCUGUAACUUCGGGAAAAAGGACACCCCAGUGAUGGGGUCGCAGAGAAAUGGCUCAGGCGACUGUUUAACAAAAACACAGGGCUAUGCAAAAUCGCAAGAUGAAGUAUAUGGCCUGACACCUGCCCGGUGCCGGAAGGUUAAAUGGGGAUGUAAUCGCAAGAGAAGCAUUGAAAUGAAGCCCCGGUAAACGGCGGCCGUAACUAUAACGGUCCUAAGGUAGCGAAAUUCCUUGUCGGGUAAGUUCCGACCUGCACGAAUGGUGUAACAAAGAGGGCACUGUCUCAACGAAAGACUCGGCGAAAUUGUGGUACCCGUGAAGACGCGGGUUGCCUGCGGCUAGACGAAAAGACCCCGUGGAGCUUUACUGUAUCUUAGCCUUGAAUUAUGGAAGUAAUUGCGUAGAAUAGGUGGGACCCUUUGAAGCAUGGCUUUUGGGCUGUGUGGAGGGGAAAUGUGAAAUACCACCCUAUUAGUUCUGUGGUUCUAACUCCUAUGUUUGAAUCAACAGGGAGAACAUGGUUAGGUGGGCAGUUUAACUGGGGCGGUUGCCUCCUAAAUUGUAACGGAGGCGUUCAAAGGUACCCUCAGGACCAAUAGAAAUGGUCUAUAGAGUGCAAGUGCAGAAGGGUGCUUAACUGCAAGACCUACAAGUCGAGCAGAUGCGAAAGCAGGAACUAGUGAUCCGGCGGUUCAGUGUGGAAUUGCCGUCGCUCAACGGAUAAAAGUUACCCCGGGGAUAACAGGCUUAUUCUAUCCAAGAGUCCAUAUCGACGAUAGAGUUUGGCACCUCGAUGUCGGCUCAUCCCAUCCUGGGGCUGGAGUAGGUCCCAAGGGUUUGGCUGUUCGCCAAUUAAAGGGGUACGUGAGCUGGGUUCAGUACGUCGUGAGACAGUACGGUCUCUAUCUACCGUGGGCGCAGGAAAUUUGAGAGGACUCGUUCUUAGUACGAGAGGACCGGAAUGAACAUACCUCUGGUGUUUCGGUUGUUCCGCCAGGAGCAUUGCCGAGUAGCCAAGUAUGGACGAGAUAAGCACUGAAAGCAUAUAAGUGCGAAACUCACCCCAAGAUAAGAUUUCCCUGAAGGGCACUCAUAGACUAUGAGUUUGAUAGGAUGGAAGUGUAAGUGCAGUAAUGCAUUCAGCUAACCAUUACUAAUUGCCCGUUCGGCUUGAUCAC